rnacentral:sRNA from 1 species
UCAAAAUCUCCCACAUUUCAGAAUGUAACAUUCAAAAUCUGCUACAUUUGGUCAAUUAUUUUAAAAUCUACUACAUUGCAAUUACUCGCGUGGAAUUAUGGACAAAAAUGCCCAAGUGUGGGACAGAGUCUAUGUCAUAGACAGAGAUAUCUUUUGGUUGAUAUGAUGACACAGAACAAAAAAAUCAUGGAAGAAACAUAAGAAAUUAGGGGAAAGAUAGUGGAGAGCAGCUGACUUUUACUGUUGUUAUUGGAUAUUUAAAAGUUGACUUGUUUAAAUAAUUUGGCUAUCGAAAAUUCUGCGAGGGACAACGUAAUAUAGAAUGCAUUAGAGGACAUGAUUACCUGUUAGCGGGGGACAACGUAAUAUAUAAUACAUUAGGGGACAUGAUUACCGGUUAGCGAAGGACGACGUAAUAUAGAAUGCAUUCGAAUUACUUGAUCAUUUGAAUGUAAUCCUUACUACGUUGUUCCCCGCGAACAAGUAAACAUGUCCCCUAAUGCAUUCUAUAUUACGUUGUCUCCCGCGAUUUAUCAUUAGUUUUGCCGAUACAUAUUUCUUAUGUUAAUCUUAUUUAGAGAUCUAGAAUGUUAAUUAAGAUUACAAAGAAAGACAAGAGUUAUAGAACUAUCAAGAAAGUAGCAUCCAAGUAGAAAACAAAGUAGAAUAAAUAAA